UACGAAGGGAGCUAGCGUUGUUCGGAAUUACUGGGCGUAAAGGGCGCGUAGGCGGUGCGGUAAGUCACCUGUGAAAUCUCCUGGCUCAACUGGGAGCUUGCAGGCGAAACUGCCGUGCUGGAGUGUGGGAGAGGUGCGUGGAAUUCCUGGUGUAGCGGUGAAAUGCGUAGAUAUCAGGAGGAACACCUGUGGCGAAAGCGGCGCACUGGACCACAACUGACGCUGAGGCGCGAAAGCUAGGGGAGCAAACAGG
rnacentral:rRNA from 1 species